UCCCCCAUGUGAAAAAGUAAGUACCAGUGUCUGUUUUGUUGAAACAGUGACCUAUAACAUCAAUACAAAGUAAUAUUAUUUAAUAUAAACUGCUUUCGCCAUUUAUUUGUUCACAGAUUUUUUUUUAUUAUGUCAUGCAAAGAUAAUCUUUCUCAGUCUGCAGCAUCACAAGAAGCGCUCUGACGUCCACACGGGGAGCAGCAAAGGAGGAAGAGCCAGACUCUGUGUUCCUGCCGGACAUCCAGAGACUCAAAUUCCUGGACAUCAUCCAGGGUGACCAUGAGGAGAAAAGACUAUCGCUCACUCCCGACCAGAUGCGAAGGAUGGCUGACCAGAGGACCAGCUGGAGGGCUGUGGGCCCGGUUCACUGGAGGCAGCACUCCUGUUGUGUCCUUUGGAAAUCCUCGUGCUCGGUGGAUGUGAACAGAAGAGCCCACAGCCGUCCACUCAGCACAUUUCUCUACCUCACUGCUAAGGGGAAUCAUACAAUUAAACA